AUACUUACCUGGCAGGGGAGAUACUACGAUCAUGAAGGUGGUUUUCCCAGGGCAAGUCUUCUCCAUUGCACUCAGGAUAUGCUGACCCCUGCAAUUUCCCCAAAUGUGGGAAACUACACUGCAUAAAUUUGUGGUAGUGGAGGACUGUGUUCAGGCUCUUCCCUUAA
ensembl:snRNA U1 U1 spliceosomal RNA